GCCUGCUAGCCGCAGUAUACUGACUGUGCAAAGGUAGCAUAAUCAUUUGUCUUUUAAUUAAAGGCUGGAAUGAAUGGCGUGACGAGAAAACUUCUGUCUUUCAAGUUUAUUUAUGAAUGCAAAAGUUCAUAUAAUCUUAUUGGACGAUCAGACCCUAUGGAGCUUUUUAGUUGGGGAGACUACAAUUGACCCCUCUUGCUGGGAUAAAAGACUUAGUUACCCUAGGGAUAACAGCGUUAUUCUUUUGGAGAGUUCUUAUCGAUAAAAGAGUUUGCGACCUCGAUGUUGGAUCAAAGAAUCAGUGAGGGGGAGAUUUUUCACUGGAGGGUCUGUUCGACCUUUUAAUCUUU
rnacentral:rRNA from 1 species